rnacentral:snoRNA from 1 species
GCUGGUGGAAGUGAUGACAUUUUUUUCCCCGUCAGAGCGACCGUGUUGAUUCUCGCUGUUAAGCCAGAUCACGUCUGAUGCACCAGC